GGCGCGAGGACCGAGCAGGGCGGUGGGUUCGCGAGCCGGGAGGAGGGGCCGGGGCGGCGGCGGCUGUGGCCGGUACUGGACCCGGCGGGAUGAGCGAGGUGGAGGCGGCAGCGGUGGCUACAGCGGUCCCCGCGGCGACGGUGCCCGCGACGGCGGCAGGGGUGGUAGCGGUGGUGGUACCGGUGCCCGCAGGGGAGCCGCAGAAAGCAGGCGGCGGGGCGGGCGGCGGGGGCGGAGCCGCCUCGGGCCCCGCUACUGGGACCCCCUCGGCGCCGGGCCCCCGCACCCCUGGCAAUCCGGCGACGGCGGCCUCGGGAACCCCCGCCCCCCCGGCCCGGAGUCAGGCGGACAAGCCGGUGCUGGGUGAGGGGCAGGCGUGCACAGGGCGGCUCUGAGGGGUCGGCGGGCUGGGGGAGGGGCAGUGUGGAGCCCGGCAGGAUCCGGAAAACCAAAGGCGGCCUGGCCCGCAGGCCCAGAGCGCUAACUGGGCUGGGAGCUGCGCACCAAAGUGGAUUCCCCUGGUGGGAAAUCCUGCCGUACCUUCCUGGGAGAGAGGGCGGGGCCGGCAGGUUCAGCUAAGGUCUUGGGGUGGAGAAUAAAGCCCCAGGGUCCGGCCACGCCCCCGGGCGGGACACAGUGCCUAGUUGACUGGGUUAGAACUAGGCAAACCUCUGAGCCCAGCAAGCAGGUGCACUGGGGACCCUUGCAUUGGGAGGGCUAGAAAAACCCUCAGUUAUGACCUGGGGGCGGCACUUUGCAGACCAGGUGAGUACCCAGUUCUAGGUGAAGGGGCUGGAUUUGUAGGAUGUGGGGAACGUGACUUAAGAGUUGGAAGGCUUUUUGAAAGCCUGAGUCCCUGUGUGGGUGAUUUCAUUUGGUGGAAUAGGGUAAGAAUACCUUGAAGCUACUAGUGAAACCUGGUUGGCUUGAAGGUAACCUGAAUAGGUAAUAAGGCAGUAGGCUAGAUUUUUUUUUGUUUUGGAGUGUCUCAAAACUGAGUUCAACUCCAUCUCUUCCCCCCAUCUCACUGUCCCCACUGCAUCUCUGCCUGGCAGCAAUCCAAGUCCUGGGCACUGUCAAAUGGUUCAACGUCCGGAAUGGUUACGGAUUCAUCAACAGGUAUCCAAGGAACCCAGGGCGGGGGUGGAAUGGGUGUCUUCCCAGCUGGCCUGUGGGACUGGACACCCGCCCAACCUCAUCGACCCCUGCGGAGGCACAUGGUUGCAAUGUCCAGCUGAUGCUGGUUGAAAGCCUUUAACCGCAGCACAAAUGUGUGCUUCGUGACAAGAGGAAGCCUCCUCCGCAUCUUCAAGGGUAGCGGAGGAUUAAUGAUUCAGGAACUUGGCAAACCUGGCUCUGACCCUGCCAGCUUCUCAUCUCACCUUCUGGAAUUGCUUCAUUACUUUUACUCUGACAUGCCUUUGGGGCAGAAUGUAUUAUAGGGUUCUCUGUGCCUCAGGGCCCCCGGCUGGAAUCCUCACUGAUUUCCUGUUAUGGCAGCACUCACAACUCAACUCCCUUAAAGAGCUGUGGCUCAUUCGAGCCCUCCACCUGUUGGGACUGAGGCUGACAGUGGGGGUCAGGAGGAAGGAGCCAGAGGCUGCUGCUUUCCUUCAGUAGGCAGCCCCACCCCUCAGCACUGGGAGACGCUGUGGCAGUGGAUUCUGAGCAGAGCCAGGUCUCCCCCAGUGGGCCCUUCCCCAGCCCAGGCAUCCUGCCCGGCCUGGCUCUCCUGGGAGGCCCUAGUUCCCUCUUAGCAGGCUGACCUUUGUGCAGAUCCAAGUGCUUUAAAGCUAAAACGUUUGUUCUGGGGAAGGGUCCCUGUCUAAUUCUGGAAAUGGCAGACGGUCGGGGGCAGAGUGCCUCCGGGAAAACUUUUCCUUUCUCCCCUCCCCCCACCCACUGGGGUUCUUAUGAUAGAGAAUGGGUGAAUGUUUUCUUCUCUCUCACCCUUGGUCCCACGCGUGUUGAGAGUGGUCCUGACUCUGGGAUUCACCUCCAGGCUGAGGAUGAGAAUAAAGUUUGGCAGCUGUUUAGAGCAAGUUCCUGACACGUUGUUCCCUUCUCAAACUUGUUCUGCCCCUCUGGCCCCAUCUGCACUUUCUGCCUCCUUGACUAUAGAAGGAAGAAGACUGGAAUUUUUCAACCCUGAUGGGGGUUGGGGGAGGGGGUGUUGGCCAGGGACAGUUGCACCCAGCGCUGGCAGGUUGUAAGGCUAGCCUGGGGUGGAAGGUGGAGUCCCGGCAGGGGCAGAGCUGUCUGAGGUUCCUCAAGGUGCCUUUGCCUCCCCAGCCUGCCCUUUCCUUGUGAAGUCCAGGUUUGGCACUGAGGUUUUAGGUGUAUCUCUCUUUACACCAGCUUCUGGGGGCCCUGCUGGCUCUCCCUCCCAUUCCCCAGGCCCUGUCUACCCCUAACUGGAAUGCCGGAGAGGAUGGGCCCACUGAGCUUAGACUGGGCAUCUAGGGGGGCCUCAGUGAGGAGCUGAGGGCUUUGUUAAAGUCCCUUCCUUAACGACCCAUCCUGUUCUGCAGGAAUGACACCAAGGAAGAUGUCUUUGUUCACCAGGUAAGAGCUAGGUUAGCUUUCUGAGGGGAAGAACCGGCCGUCUUUGAAGGCCUUUGCUGUAAUCCUUAGCAGUGCGCUCCGCCAUGUUUCUCUGGCUCUUCUUCACAACGGCCCAUCUGCCAGGGAAUAGCUCCCCCCAUCCGCCUUGGGUGCCUGUGUCAACCACCAUUAGCCGCACUUGUGUUGGGUUACUAAACGUCCGUCAGAAUUGAGCAUGUUGCCCCUGGGCAUGGCACGCUUACUACCUACUGGGACCUGUUAACACUCCAGGAAGCACUGAGGCAAUUUUCAGAGGGAGAAGGUCCUUGGGUGCAGUGGUUCUCAAAGCGUGGCCCCUGCACCAGCGGCAGCAGCAUCACCUGACAUCCGAAUUCUCAGGUCCCACCCCAGACCUGGUGAAUCAAUCAGAGCUGGGGCUGGGGCUCCACAAUCGGUUUAACGAGCUCUCCAGGUGAUUCUGAUGCACGCUACAGCUUGAGAACCACUGCUUGGUGGAAAGAGCUCUCACUGGGACUGAGGUAAGAAGCACAGUGCAUUUUACCCACUUUGCGACUGAAGGCUGUCCCUGCCUUUUGCUUUGGAGUUCAUAUUUCUUGCCUCCCUUUUUGAAAUCCCUGAGGGGUAAAGCGGGGCGGGAGGGGAGGUGUGGGGAGUGCAUCCUGGGGAUGGUGGUAACUGCACAAUCUUUGCUGAGGCCCUGAGUUCAGGACUUUUCCCCUGCUAAACUUUGACCACCUCCUUGCUCCACCCUCCAGCUCUAGACCCCAAGUCAAAUGUUGAAAGAAUGAAAUUGGGUGGUGGCCCCGCAGGGGUGACAGAGACUCCUGUCUUGCUGUCUCACUUUUCACAUGGCCUUUUCCCCAAUCAGACAGCUAUUAAAAGAAACAACCCCAGGAAGUUUCUGCGCAGCGUUGGAGAUGGGGAGACUGUGGAAUUUGAUGUCGUGGAAGGAGAGAAGGGUGCAGAAGCCACUAAUGUAACUGGGCCCGGGGGAGUACCCGUGAAGGGCAGCCGUUAUGCCCCCAACCGACGUAAGUCCCGCCGAUUCAUCCCCCGGCCUCCCUCAGUUGCCCCACCACCCAUGGUGGCAGAGAUCCCCUCGGCGGGGACAGGACCUGGCAGUAAAGGGGAGCGGGCUGAAGACUCUGGGCAACGGCCCAGACGAUGGUGCCCCCCACCCUUCUUCUACCGACGGCGGUUUGUGCGAGGCCCCCGGCCUCCCAACCAGCAGCAGCCUAUAGAGGGCACUGACAGGGUAGAACCCAAAGAGACAGCCCCAUUGGAGGGGCACCAACAGCAGGGAGAUGAGCGGGUCCCCCCGCCCAGAUUCCGGCCCAGGUACCGAAGGCCUUUCCGCCCCAGGCCACGCCAGCAGCCUACCACAGAAGGUGGGGAUGGUGAGACCAAGCCCAGCCAAGGUCCCGCUGAUGGUUCCCGGCCUGAGCCCCAGCGCCCACGAAACCGCCCCUACUUCCAGCGGAGACGGCAGCAGGCCCCUGGCCCCCAGCAGGCCCCUGGCCCCCGGCAGCCCGCAGCCCCUGAGACCUCAGCCCCUGUCAACAGUGGGGACCCCACCACCACCAUCCUGGAGUGAUUCCAACUCAAAGGACACCCAGAGCUGCCAUCUGGUAUCUGCCAGUUUUUCCAAAUGACCUGUACCCUACCCAGUACCCUGCUCCCCCUUUCCCAUAAUUCAUGACAUCAAAACACCAGCUUUUCACCUUUUCCUUGAGACUCAGGAGGACCAAAGCAGCAGCCUUUUGCUUUUUCUUUUUUCUUCCCUCCCCUUAUCAAGGGUUGAAGGAAGGGAGCCAUCCUUACUGUUCAGAGACAGCAACUCCCUCCCGUAACUCAGGCUGAGAAGGAACCAGCCAGCUCUUACCUCCUCCUGGUUGCUUUUCUUCCCCCCACCCCAAGUUUAUUUUUGUUUUCCCCCGGCCCCCUACCUCUGAAGCCAUUUUAUGAUCUGUCAUGUGCCACCUGAGCCUCCAGUAAAAACAAAAACAGGC
rnacentral:sRNA from 1 species